rnacentral:rRNA from 1 species
GAUGAACGCUGGCGGCGUGCCUAAUACAUGCAAGUCGAGCGAACAGACGAGGAGCUUGCUCCUUCGACGUUAGCGGCGGACGGGUGAGUAACACGUAGGUAACCUACCUAUAAGACUGGGAUAACUUCGGGAAACCGGAGCUAAUACCGGAUAAUAUUUCGAACCGCAUGGUUCGAUAGUGAAAGAUGGCUUUGCUAUCACUUAUAGAUGGACCUGCGCCGUAUUAGCUAGUUGGUAAGGUAACGGCUUACCAAGGCAACGAUACGUAGCCGACCUGAGAGGGUGAUCGGCCACACUGGAAGUGAGACACGGUCCAGACUCCUACGGGAGGAAGCAGUAGGGAAUCUUCCGCAAUGGGGGAAAGCCUGACGGAGCAACGCCGCGUGAGUGAUGAAGGUCUUCGGAUCGUAAAACUCCGUUAUUAGGGAAGAACAAACGUGUAAGUAACUGUGCACGUCUUGACGGUACCUAAUCAGAAAGCCACGGCUAACUACGUG